AUGUGGAGCUGCUUCUGCUGGGGGACGCUUAACGAUGUUACACAAAAAGGGCCAUUUUCCACAUUGAGGGCAAUGUUUUUAGGUUCUAGAAAGUUCCUCACCAUCUUCUGCAGAAUUCCAGGGACUAACACCUUUGUUAGGACUGAGAAGCUUGCUCCUACUCCACCAAUGGUUAUUCUGAGCCCCAGAUUGCUCAACUUUCCAUUCCAUCUUUCAAGCAUUACCUCAAAGCCUGAAGCCUCAGCUAAACCUUUGUUGAUGGAUGGAGGGUGUCACAAAAACUUCAAGUUUUCCCCCAAGUCCAUGCUCCAUAUUACGCAGAGUAAUAUAAGCCUGAGCUGGGAAUGUGGCUGCCAAGCUAAAGAUUACAUCUCCCAGGCUCCUUUGCAGCUAAGGGUGGUCGUGUGACCAAGAGGAAGUGGGCAGAACUUGUGUAUACAACUUCCAGGUCCCUCCCUUAAAGGGGAGGAGCAUGUCCUUUCCUUCUUCCUUCCCACUUCCUGCUGGUCACUGGUGUGAGGAGGGGCACUGGGGCAGCGGUCGUGGAAGACGAGGCAGAAGACAUCACAAGAGAGUCAUGGAGCCCCCAUCCUCACUCCAGGCCAGCACUGCCCACCCAGAACUUUCCCUUGCUGCUCCAUAAUACUGGAUCUCCGUGUUUAAAAAAACAAAUCUGUAUCCUAACUAACACGGAAUUUGGUACCAGGAGAAACAGGCUGCCUCAACAGAACCCCAAAUAUAUGACAUUGGUUUAGUAUAGUCAUUCUCAAUCAGGGGCAGUCUGCCCCUCCCCCCAGGACAUUUGGCAAAAUCAGGAAACAUUUUAGGUUAUCUUGAAUUGGAAGGAGAUGUUACUGACAUCUAGUGGGCCAAGGAUGCAGCUGAAUAUCCUACAAGACACAGGACAGGCCCCCAGUGCAAAGGAUGAUCUAGCCCAAAGUGUCAACAGUGUCAACAGUGUCACAGUUGAGAAACUGGGGCUUAGCAGGAAGUGGUGAGGACACGUGUAGGGAUGCUGGGAAGCUGACCACUCACACUUUGCUCUGAUGAAACCCCUGGUAAGUCUGUCAAUCACAAUGUGAGCAAGGCUGCAGCUCUAGAGAAAAUGGUUUACAAAUUUAGGAUGUUGGAAUGUGUUGACUGCUUCUUGCUGCUGUCAGCAAAGUCCUAUAAAAGCAAAAGAUGGACUCCAAGUGGAACCAGCCAGUGUGCAAACAGAAACAGAAGGAGAAGACAUUACGCUGAGUGAAAGAAGCCAGGCACAAAGGUCACAUAUUGUGAUUCCUUUUGUGUGAAAUGUCUAGGACAGGCAAACCCAUAGGGACGGAAAGUAGGUUUGUGGUUGCCAGGGGCUGGGGGAGGAGUGAUGGGGAGCAACUGCUUAAUGGGUAUGGCGUUUUAUUUUGGG
rnacentral:lncRNA from 1 species